rnacentral:rRNA from 1 species
UACGGGGGGGAGCAAGCGUUGUUCGGAUUUACUGGGCGUAAAGGGCGCGUAGGGCGGUCAGCACAAGUCAGUUGUGAAAUCUCCGGGCUUAACUCGGAAAGGUCAACUGAUACUGUGCGACUAGAGUGCGAAGGGGCAACUGGAAUUCUCGGUGUAGCGGUGAAAUGCGUAGAUAUCGAGAGGAACACCUGCGGCGAAGGCGGGUUGCUGGGCCGACACUGACGCUGAUGCGCGAAAGCCAGGGGAGCGAACGGGG